UUAUUUCUCUUAACAUGCUAAACAUUUCUUUUAAUAUUUCUAUGUUUUGUAGUAACCAUUAUACUUCUGACUGAACUAGCAAGUUGCUUUGGGGACAAUGAGAAAAACUCAAAAGAAGAUACUUUGAAGAAUGCUGGUAAUCAAACCCAACAAGUUUGUCAGCUAUGGACAGUAUGAAGGGGACAAAAUGAUUUCCAUAUUUUGGGUGCAGAAAUAAAAGCUCCCAAACAAAGAUGUCACCGGAUUAAGAAGUGAAAAGACAUGUUGCACCACAACAACCAUAAAUCCUGAGUAAUUUGAAUAUGGGCAACAACCGAGGAAAAGUACCCACUGUUUUAGUCAGAAAUGAUUCAUGGUAAUAGUAAUAGUAAAUGAUUAGAUAAAUAAAUAAAAAGUACAAAAUGGUUUUAAUUUUAAA
ensembl:lncRNA